CAAAAAUAUGAAACACAGAAGAUCCCACUAGCAAUGGUGGUCUCCUGGCAUGAAACCAGCAGCAGCUGUGCCAAAGCAGCCUAUGUGUUUGUUACCAAACGCGGAAGGCGCAUAUGUGUGGAUCCUACUGAUGCUUGGGUGAGGAGCCACGCAGCUCAGGUGGACAGCAGGUCAGCCACCACUGUAGUGCCAGGAACCAGCGAGAUGAACACUAAAGCCUAAGGCCAGCCCUAACACCCCAGCGGGCUGUCAAUCUGUACGAAGACUUCCUGUUGGACACUGCGAUGGGACACACAAAAACAUAAGAGAGGAAUGUAUCUAAUUACAUCUGAUAUUCCUGGAUUUAAUUCAUGCAAUAUUGUCUGUUCUUUUCCUGUUCAUAAUGCAUUGUUUCUUUUCCUACAUUCAUUUUUCUGUUUUAUAAUUUGUACAUAAUAUUUUUUCCAGGAAACUUAUUAAAUGCUUUUGUAACAAACUUUGUUUUUUGUUUAAAGUUUUUUGAUUAUUCCUGCUUAAAUUCACAAAGCAGGAAAAAAAUCCUUACAGUAAAGCAACUUUACUAAACAUUGCAACAUGUGCAUGUUUGUUGCAUGUCACAAACUAAGAUCUAAGAUGAAGUGUACUUACAGCAAACAUUGCCAGUUCAAUGUUCAGCUCAAAUUGCUGAUUUGUUUUAGAUUGUGUUCAAACAAGGAUGUGACUUAUGCCUGGAGAAAAGUCAUAAGUCACGUGAAUUUUAGCAAUGAAAUUUAGCACUUUUUGGCAAGUUGCUAUAAAAGGUGACUGCUGCACCAUCCAGUGACUAUUUUGUAUCCGUUUAAUAUCAUAAUUUUAAAAUAUUACAAUAAAACUAAAUGCCAGGAUUCAUAUGAUUCGUAUGGUCAGGCCAGCUUCAUAUCAUUUUGAAAUUUUCAACAAUAAUUAAUUGUUCAAAAUAUCAAAGAGUGCUCAUACUUAAACCUCUCGUAUCGGAAUAACUGUUAUCAACAGUAAAAAUGAAAA